CCCUUAGAUGUUCUGGGCCGCACGCGCGCUACACUGAUGCAUUCAACGAGUCUAAAACCUGCUCUGAUAGGGGUGGGUAAUCUUUUGAAUGUGCAUCGUGAUUGGGAUAGAUGAUUGCAAUUUUUCAUCUUCAACGAGGAAUGCCUAGUAAACGCAAGUCAUCAGCUUGCAUUGAUUACGUCCCUGCCCUUUGUACACACCGCCCGUCGCUCCUACCGAUUGAAUGAUCCGAUGAAUAUCAUGGAUUGAGGAUGCAAGUAGGUUAGCCUAUCUUCAUCUUCGAGAAGUGAAGUAAAUCUUAUCAUUUAGAGGAAGGUGAAGUCGUAACA
rnacentral:rRNA from 1 species